AGUCGAACGGGCUCUUCGGAGCUAGUGGCGGACGGGUGAGUAACGCGUGAGAAUCUGCCUUCAGGAGGGGGAUAACGACUGGAAACGGUCGCUAAUACCCCAUAUGCCUCCGGGUGAAAAGUAAUUCGCCUGAAGAUGAGCUCGCGUCAGAUUAGCUAGUUGGUGGGGUAAGAGCUCACCAAGGCAGCGAUCAGUAGCUGGUCUGAGAGGACGAUCAGCCACACUGGGACUGAGACACGGCCCAGACUCCUACGGGAGGCAGCAGUGGGGAAUUUUCCGCAAUGGGCGAAAGCCUGACGGAGCAAGACCGCGUGAGGGAGGAAGGCUCUUGGGUUGUAAACCUCUUUUCUCAGGGAAGAAGCUCUGACGGUACCUGAGGAAUCAGCCUCGGCUAACUCCGUGCCAGCAGCCGCGGUAAUACGGAGGAGGCAAGCGUUAUCCGGAAUUAUUGGGCGUAAAGCGUCCGCAGGUGGCGAUUCAAGUCUGCUGUCAAAGCACGGGGCUUAACUCCGUUAAGGCAGUGGAAACUGAAUAGCUAGAGUGCCGUAGGGGUAGAGGGAAUUCCCGGUGUAGCGGUGAAAUGCGUAGAGAUCGGGAAGAACAUCGGUGGCGAAAGCGCUCUACUGGACGGCAACUGACACUCAGGGACGAAAGCUAGGGGAGCGAAUGGGAUUAGAUACCCCAGUAGUCCUAGCUGUAAACGAUGGAUACUAGGUGUAGCUUGUAUCGACCCGAGCUGUGCCGAAGCUAACGCGUUAAGUAUCCCGCCUGGGGAGUACGCACGCAAGUGUGAAACUCAAAGGAAUUUGACGGGGGCCCGCACAAGCGGUGGAGUAAUGUGGUUUAAUUCGAUGCAACGCGAAGAACCUACCCAGGGCUUGACAUGUCCGGAAUCCCGGUGAAAGCUGGGAGUGCCUUCGGGAGCCGGUACACAGUUGUUGCAUGGCUGUCGUCAGCUCGUGUCGUGAGAUGUU
rnacentral:rRNA from 1 species